GUGUCAGCAGCCGCGGUAAGACGUAGGAUCCAAGCGUUAUCCGGAAUUACUGGGCGUAAAGGGCGUGUAGGAGGUUGGGCAAGUCGGCCAUGAAAGCUCCCGGCUCAACUGGGAGAGGCUGGUCGAUACUGCCUGGCUAGAGGGCAAGAGAGGGAGGUGGAAUUCCCGGUGUAGUGGUGAAAUGCGUAGAUAUCGGGAGGAACACCAGUGGCGAAGGCGGCCUCCUGGCUUGUACCUGACUCUGAAACGCGAAAGCAUGGGUAGCAAACAGGAUUAGAAACCCUGGUAGUCCAUGCCAUAAACGAUGUCAACUGGGUGUCGGCGAAGUAAAAUUUGUCGGUGCCGAAGCUAACGCGUUAAGUUGACCGCCUGAGGACUACGAUCGCAAGAUUAAAACUUAAAUGAAUUGACGGGG
rnacentral:rRNA from 1 species